UAUAUUUAUAAUCAUCCCCUGAAACAUUAAAUAGCUGUUAGUAAUGUUCGUUUGUUUUUGUGAUCAAUUUUGCUGGUGAUGUUAUUAUUCCUUCUAGAAAGCCUAUCACGUGUAAAUUAAAGUUUUCCUUUUGAUUCUUAUCUUAGAAUUAGAUAGAAAGGUACAUGUUAGAACUCGGUGGGAAACAAGGAAAACGGUUGUUCUUUUGGAGUUAAUGCCUCUGCAAAGUUGUGGUGACACUGCAUAAUUGAAAUCUGGGGAGGUUUGCAGAAUACGUAAGUUAACUAGCUCCGUUCGGGUUUAGGCAGACCUUUUGUAUAUGUUUUAUGUGGUGGGACGUCUUUUAAUUUUAUAGACCACCAAAGGCAGUUGCAUUUGUUUAAAGUUGGAAAGGUUAUCUACAACUAGAAUCUUCCAACCUGUAAAACUACAUCUCUUCCGGCUUCAGCUAACUCUGAUUUUAUGUGAUUAACCACGUACAGCUUAAUGUAAAGUUUAUCAUCUAGGUGCUCCAUAUGAUUGACAAGGUGCCUAACAAAGGGAAGAUUGAUAAAUAAACCUGUUAAUAACAUGUAUACUCGCCUGGAUAUCCUCUUGAAUCCAGUCAGGCAGAUUUUGGCAAACAACUCUACAAAAUUUAGAGCAUCACAGGUUUCCCAUUUGACAUUGCUAAUGGGGUAUCAAUUUUCUGGAAAGGGUAUCAAUCUCAUAUAAGGCGAACCAGAAAUGCUUUGUUUUAUAUGGAUUUGGUACACGUAAACCAGUAACCCCAUCAGCAGUCAUGUCCAAGUUCCCACGUCUUACUCAAACUGUUUCAGUGUUUCACUUGACCUUUCAUCUAACUCGUCGACCACACAACAAAUGAACAAACCGUGUUGCCCGUUGACUCUCUCUUACUUUUUCCUCCUCCCUUAUAAAUACUCUUUCUCUCCAUCUUAUUUCCAAUUCGUCUUCUGCACUCCCCAACAUCCGUCUCUCUUCCAUUUCUUCUUCGUCCAUCUAAAAAUGUCUGGAAUCCAAAUGAAAACCUCAUUUCAAUUUUCUCCAGAGUGUUACUUAUCAAACAAAUCCCCUAAUCACAACAAGUCCCAGAAUUCAAUGUCUUUUCCAACUAGAAACUCUUCAAAGAAAUUCACAAUUAAAUCUUCUGUUUCCUCAGAAACUCUUCCAAGAACCAACAGAAGGCCAUCGCCGGCGCCGUCGAGUCUGUAUGAGAUUCUUAGAGUGAAAGAAAACGCAUCAGCACUUGAAAUUAAGACAGCUUACCGAAACUUAGCAAAGAGAGUUCAUCCAGAUGUAGCUACUUCUGAAUCUGAUAGCCGUGAUUUCAUGGAAAUUCACAAAGCUUAUACAACUCUAUAUGAUCCUACAGCGAGAGCUAAUUAUGAUCUCUCCAUUGCCCGCACCUCCGCUCGAUAUGGAUCGUCCGGUUACAGUACCGGAUUGGGAAGUCGAUCGGAUUUUGCAGUUGUUGGUCAGAUGAGAAGGUGGGAAACAGAUCAAUGCUGGUAAUCGUCUCUCAUUGACUCUGAGGCGCCACCUACUUGCCAAAUUGAGCAAACCUCGAUUUUCCUAAAACUGAUCCAUGGAAUUCAAUCCCAUUUUACCUCAUUGGGUUUCAGUUCAGAUUGAAUUGAACUAAGGGGAUGCAUCUAAGAACAUUCUUGUGACUACUUCAAUUGAAUUAAAUGUCCUAUUCAUGCAUCUCCUCUAAGGAUGACUUUAAGAUCAAUUGGCUCGUGCGUAGAAAGCUGAUUCCACGUUUGGCCACAGCUUACAUGUAAUGGAAGAUUUUCCGAUCACCAUAUUAGAGGUUCGGUGCAACUCACAAAGUCCGAUUUCUAGUGCUCUAUCCUGAAUUUUAAGGCAAGUUGAACUCAAUCAUCAUUUACAGAGCAACUUCAGGAGCUUAAUAGCUAUGUUGUUAGAUAAACUGACAUGUUGCUCAAAUAUUGAGAGGCUUGUCUGUCGCGAUCAAUAAAAUGCCCAAAGUACCGUUCUGGCAAACUGUAGACCAGAAGUUAAUCAAUCAAUAACUUUCCGUUCUACCUUAUUCUUAUUAAGCAAGUAGGCCUCAAGAAUCGAUAGGAAGGUUGAUUGGUGAAACUAGUGUAACUUCCAUUUGCUUUGUGCAAGAAUAUAUGUAACUGUAAAAUUGUAUCCUCAUUCAAAUACAUAUGCUUUAUGGGAUUUUCUUACUACAA